AUUGAACGCUGGCGGCAGGCUUAACACAUGCAAGUCGAGCGGGGUGAUGGUGCUUGCACUAUCACUUAGCGGCGGACGGGUGAGUAAUGCUUAGGAAUCUGCCUAUCAGUGGGGGACAACAUCGCGAAAGGGAUGCUAAUACCGCAUACGUCCUACGGGAGAAAGCAGGGGAUCACUUGUGACAUUGCGCUAAUAGAUGAGCCUAAGGCGGAUUAGCUAGUUGGUGGGGUAAAGGCCUACCAAGGCGACGAUCGGUAGCGGGUCUGAGAGGAUGAUCCGCCACACGGGGACUACGACCCGGCCCAGACUUCUACGGGAGGCAGCAGUGGGGAAUAUUGGACAAUGGGGGGAACCCUGAUCCAGCCAUGCCGCGUGUGUGAAGAAGGCCUUAUGGUUGUAAAGCACUUUAAGCGAGGAGGAGGCUCUUUUGGUUAAUACCCAAGAUGAGUGGACGUUACUCGCAGAAUAAGCACCGGCUAACUCUGUGCCAGCAGCCGCCGUAA
rnacentral:rRNA from 1 species